rnacentral:lncRNA from 1 species
UUUUUUUUUUUUCCUUCUUAGUCGUGUGUACAUCAUUGGGAAUGGAGGGAAAUAAAUGACUGGAUGGUCGCUGCUUUUUAAGUUUCAAAUUGACAUUCCAGACAAGCGGUGCCUGAGCCCGUGCCUGUCUUCAGAUCUUCACAGCACAGUUCCUGGGAAGGUGGAGCCACCAGCCUCUCCCUGACAAGCAAAGUGGAUCAGCAAAGGCUGCAGUCACCAGCAUCUUUUCCAACCUUAAUGAACUGUAUCCUCAAAAGAACACUAUCAGACUGGAUUGGAAAAGAUUUGGUUAAUGACAGCCCUGUCAUUUCUAAAACCCAUUAUCACUGUAUGAGAGAUUCCUUUGCGCUGCAUCCUCGACAGUGCUUCCUAAGGCUCUGCCGACUUCCAGUUCUGGAACAAGAUGGUUAAACUCAUUUUUCCCUGCUCUGCUCCUCUAAAUACAACUAAGUACCUUGGAAACUAUUCAGCAGACAAUGAUAAAGGGCUCUGAAAGCUAGAAGAAAAGGUGUACUUGCAAGAAACCUCAGGACUUGAGUAACAGCAACAUGGUAAGUUUUCUAAGUUUUCUUUUUGUCUCCCAUAUACGCUGGGCUGUGCUGGAAUCACCAACAGGCACAGAAAAAAUGACAACAAAACAACAACAAAACCCCCAAGAAUAUCCUGUUGUCUUUGGCCAAAGUUCAGGAAAGGGGAGCCCCAACAGAGACCCAGUAGGAAGCUCUAGCCCCUGUUUUGUACAACCCAGGGUCCUUGCAGAGAGAUUGAUCUGCCAGCAGUGGCAUCAGCAGCAAUAGUAGCAGCAGCAAAGCCCUGGACAGUCCUGGCCCCCAGUCCACAACUUAGACACAGCACAUGGCCUAAUUCACCCACAGAAGCAGCCACUGUGAAGCCCUGUGUCUCCCCAGACUCCAUCCAGUGGCAUAAGGAGACCCAGGCCCUGCAGCUUCCUCCCCAUCAUGGAAGGCUGUCCAUCUACAGAGUUUCCAAACAUAAUAAGCACUAAGGAAACAACAUAACAUGAUAUGCC